GGAGAGGUGGCAGAGCGGUAAUGCAGCGGAUUGCUAAUCCGUCAUGGUGUAACAAUCAUGCCCGGGUUCGAGUCCCGGUCUCUCCG
rnacentral:tRNA from 1 species